CAGCCGCUCGGCUCGCGGACCGGUUAGCCCUUGUGCGGCCUCAGGCUCGGUCGGUGCCGCAGGGCUGCUAUUCAAACAGGAAACAACCGGGCAGCCAGAUCCGCAGGCUUUGAGGGCGUCGGGGGCUGGAACCCCGCUUUCAUCAUCCUUUCACUUGCCAGAAGUCCACAAUGGGGCUAAGUUCCAGCCCUCCUAGCACUUGGUCCUUCUGGUCACUGGCCACCUCCUGAGACUAUCCAGAGAAUCCCAUCAUAAAGUGCCUCAACUCGAUGGUAAUCAAAAGGCAUUCACUGUGAAUAAUAAGACACUGCUAUCACUUAGGAAAUUCUAAGACUUUUAGAAGCUUUGCUAUAGGAAAAGCAGGAACUUAAUUUUUUAAAAUUUUUUUGGUGGCAGGGUCUCACUAUGUAGUUAAAGCUGGCCUUGAACUCACUUAUAUAGCCCAGGCUGGCUUCAAAUUCACAGAGAUCCUCCUGCUUCAGCCUCCCAAGUGCUGGGACUAUAGGUGUGCGCCCCCAUGCGUGGCUCCAAGAAGCUUUGAAAUCACUACAAUAUAUAGUAACAAAGCAGCAGAGUAUUUUAUUUUUAUGUAACUGUCACUCAGUAACUGUAACACUGUGAAGUCACAUCAUAAUUUGGUUUCCUUUUCAAAAGAAAGGUUUUCUAAGGAAAUGACUUGGAGCCUUCCACAUUUGUCAGAUGCCUUUUCCUUAUUGUUUUCCAGUUUUGCAAUUCUGGAUCCAAACUGCAUGGCCCGUUUGGGCAGAAGGGCGGAAGCUGUGAGCCCAAGUUCCACAGCUGCAAGACGUAAAAUUAGCUUUUCACCAAUUCCACGGGGUAAAGUCAAGUUUGCCUUUUCCCAGAUGGGCAGGGAAUUAAGAAAGGAGACAACGUUUUCAUCCAGGAAUGGAAAUCUAAAAUAAACAGAUUAAAAAACCAA